rnacentral:misc_RNA from 1 species
AGGUAUGAAAAACAAGCCAGGUAUUAAUAAUGUGCAAGGCAACAUUCCUAAAACUGCAAGCAGCCUCCAAUUUACAAAAAGUCCUAAUACGUAAGCUAGCAUGAUUCCAAGAGUAACCGAAAGCUGGUUAACAGAUCCAAGGCCUCCUCUCAAGUUCUGGGGCGAUAUCUCGGCUAUAUAUACUGGCACAGUGUAUGAGAUUAUACCAACACCAAACCCUUCCAACAAC